rnacentral:rRNA from 1 species
AUUCCUACGGGAGGCAGCAGUGGGGAAUUUUCCGCAAUGGGCGAAAGCCUGACGGAGCAACGCCGCGUGAGGGAUGAAGGCCUCUGGGCUGUAAACCUCUUUUAUCAAGGAAGAAGAUCUGACGGUACUUGAUGAAUAAGCCACGGCUAAUUCCGUGCCAGCAGCCGCGGUAAUACGGGAGUGGCAAGCGUUAUCCGGAAUUAUUGGGCGUAAAGCGUCCGCAGGCGGCCCUUCAAGUCUGCUGUUAAAAAGUGGAGCUUAACUCCAUCAUGGCAGUGGAAACUGUUGGGCUUGAGUGUGGUAGGGGCAGAGGGAAUUCCCGGUGUAGCGGUGAAAUGCGUAGAUAUCGGGAAGAACACCAGUGGCGAAGGCGCUCUGCUGGGCCAUCACUGACGCUCAUGGACGAAAGCCAGGGGAGCGAAAGGGAUUAGAUACCCCUGUAGUCCUGGCCGUAAACGAUGAACACUAGGUGUCGGGGGAAUCGACCCCCUCGGUGUCGUAGCCAACGCGUUAAGUGUUCCGCCUGGGGAGUACGCACGCAAGUGUGAAACUCAAAGGAAUUGACGGAAU